rnacentral:rRNA from 1 species
CGGUGUUCAACUGGCGUGCCCGCGGGACGUCCUGCCGGUGAGCUCAGCCCGCGAGGGCGGCUCAACUUGAAAUCCCAUCGCGGUGCUCUUCAUUGAGUGUCGAGGUGGGCCGGCACGAUUACUUUUGAACAAAUUAGAGUGCUUAGAGCAGGCUAAAAUUUUGCCUGAAUACUGUGUAUAUGGAAUAAUGGAAUAGGACCUCGGUUCUAUUUUGUUGGUUUUCGGAACCCCGAGGUAAUGAUUAAUAGGAACGGAUGGGGGCAUUCGUAUUGCGACGUUAGAGGUGAAAUUCUUGGAUCGUCGCAAGACGGACUAAAGCGAAAGCAUUUGCCAAAAACGCUUUCAUUGAUCAAGAACGAAAGUUAGAGGUUCGAAGGCGAUCAGAUACCGCCCUAGUUCUAACCAUAAACUAUGCCAGCUAGCGAUCCGCCGACGUCCCUCUGAUGACUCGGCGGGCAGCUUCCGGGAAACCAAAGCUUUUGGGUUCCGGGGGAAGUAUGGUUGCAAAGCUGAAACUUAAAGGAAUUGACGGAAGGGCACCACCAGGAGUGGAGCCUGCGGCUUAAUUUGACUCAACACGGGAAACCUCACCAGGCCCAGACACUGGAAGGAUUGACAGAUUGAGAGCUCUUUCUUGAUUCAGUGGGUGGUGGUGCAUGGCCGUUCUUAGUCGGUGGAGCGAUUUGUCAGGUUAAUUCCGAUAACGGACGAGACUCUGACCUGAUAACUAGACGCACUUGCGGCAUCUCAAAGGUCCGCCGGCGGCUGGCUUUGCGCCCGUCGUCGCGCGCGAUUUUUACUGCCGGCGUACAAUAAAUUCUUCUUAGAGGGACAAGUGG